rnacentral:rRNA from 1 species
AACGAACGCUGGCGGCAGGCUUAACACAUGCAAGUCGAGCGCCCCGCAAGGGGAGCGGCAGACGGGUGAGUAACGCGUGGGAAUCUACCCAUCUCUACGGAAUAACGCAUGGAAACGUGUGCUAAUACCGUAUACGUCCUUCGGGAGAAAGAUUUAUCGGAGAUGGAUGAGCCCGCGUUGGAUUAGCUAGUUGGUGGGGUAAAGGUCUACAAAGGCGACGAUCCAUAGCUGGUCUGAGAGGAUGAUCAGCCACACUGGGACUGAGACACGGCCCAGACUACUACGGGAGGCAGCAGUGGGAAAUAUUGGACAAUGGGCGCAAGCCUGUUCCAGCCAUGCCGCGUGAGUGAUGAAGGCCCUAGGGUUGUAAAGCUCUUUCACCGGUGAAGAUAAUGACGGUAACCGGAGAAGAAGCCCCGGCUAACUGCGUGCCAGCCGCCGCCGUAACAC